UUUGAUCACAUUUUUCUGUAGACCCCCAGAUUAUAUUUUUAGUCUGCCUUCUUCUCUCUGGCUCUUAACUCAUGCCGUCUCCUUGGGUAAUACUCUGAGGGCCCCGAGAUCCCCUGUCAUUGGUCCCUCUAACAGAAGUACACCCUUCUCCCAAAGCCAGAGGAUCAGGUGUUCAGUGGCUCCGGUGACAGGUGUGAUGUCAGGUUACAGAUACUGUUUCCUGAGAGACCACACGACAGUGUCAGAGGAACCCCAGCCUGCCCACAAUGCCCCGUCUUCACCUGGCUAUCCCUUCAUGGUGAGCAUAGCCAGAACUCACCUCUAGGCCCAGUGUGCACCUGGAAAUAUGGCUCUGAGCCUCCAGCCCCAGCUGCUCCUUCUCCUGUCGCUCCUGCCGCAGGAAGUGACUUCAGCCCCUACUGGGCCUCAGUCUUUGGAUGCUGGUCUCUCCCUUCUGAAGUCAUUCGUAGCCACUCUGGACCAAGCUCCUCAGCGUUCCCUCAGCCAGUCACGGUUCUCUGCGUUCCUGGCCAACAUUUCUUCAUCCUUCCAGCUUGGGAGGAUGGGGGAGGGACCGGUGGGAGAGCCCCCACCUCUCCAGCCCCCUGCACUUCGACUUCAUGAUUUCCUCGUGACACUGAGAGGUAGCCCAGACUGGGAGCCAAUGCUAGGGCUUCUGGGAGAUGUGCUGGCACUCCUGGGACAGGAACAGACUCCCCGGGACUUUUUGGUGCACCAGGCAGGUGUACUGGGUGGACUUGUAGAGGCAUUGUUGGGAGCGUUAGUUCCUGGAGGCCCCCCUGCCCCCACUCGACCCCCAUGCACCCGUGAUGGCCCUUCUGACUGUGUCCUGGCUGCUGAUUGGUUGCCUUCUCUGAUGUUGUUAUUAGAGGGUACACGCUGGCAGGCCCUGGUGCAGUUGCAGCCCAGUGUGGACCCAACCAAUGCCACAGGUCUUGAUGGUAGAGAGCCAGCUCCUCACUUUUUACAGGGUCUGCUGGGCUUGCUUACCCCAGCAGGAGAGUUGGGCUCUGAGGAGGCUCUUUGGGGUGGUCUGCUGCGCACAGUGGGGGCCCCCCUCUAUGCUGCCUUCCAGGAGGGGCUACUGCGAGUCACUCAUUCUCUGCAAGAUGAGGUCUUUUCUAUUAUGGGACAGCCAGAGCCUGAUGCCAGUGGGCAGUGCCAGGGAGGCAACCUUCAACAGCUGCUUUUAUGGGGCAUGCGGAACAACCUUUCUUGGGACGCCCGAGCACUGGGUUUUCUAUCUGGAUCACCACCUCCACCCCCUGCUCUCCUGCACUGCCUGAGCAGAGGUGUGCCUCUGCCCAGGGCUUCCCAGCCUGCGGCUCACAUCAGCCCUCGACAGCGGCGAGCCAUCUCUGUGGAGGCCCUCUGCGAGAACCACUCAGGCCCAGAGCCACCCUACAGCAUCUCCAACUUCUCCAUCUACUUGCUCUGCCAGCACAUCAAGCCUGCCACCCCGCGGCCCCCUCCUACCACCCCACGGCCUCCUCCUACCACCCCACAGCCCCCUCCUACCACUACACAGCCCAUUCCUGACACUACACAGCCCCCUCCUGUCACCCCAAGGCCUCCUCCUACCACCCCACAACCCCCUCCUAGCACAGCUGUCAUCUGCCAGACAGCUGUAUGGUACGCAGUCUCGUGGGCACCAGGUGCCCGAGGUUGGCUCCAAGCCUGCCAUGAUCAGUUUCCUGAUCAAUUUCUGGAUAUGAUCUGCGGCAACCUCUCAUUUUCAGCCCUGUCUGGCCCCAGUCGUCCUUUGGUAAAGCAGCUCUGUGCUGGCUUGCUCCCACCCCCCACUAGCUGUCCACCAGGCCUGAUCCCUGUGCCCCUCACCCCAGAAAUAUUCUGGGGCUGUUUCCUGGAGAAUGAGACACUGUGGGCUGAACGGUUGUGUGUGGAGGACAGUCUGCAGGCUGUGCCCCCGAGGAACCAGGCUUGGGUUCAGCAUGUGUGUCGGGGCCCCACCUUGGACGCCACUGAUUUUCCACCGUGCCGCGUUGGACCCUGUGGGGAACGCUGCCCAGAUGGGGGCAGCUUCCUGCUCAUGGUCUGUGCCAAUGACACUCUGUAUGAAGCCUUGGUUCCCUUCUGGGCUUGGCUAGCAGGCCAAUGCAGAAUUAGUCGUGGAGGAAAUGAUACUUGCUUUCUAGAAGGCAUGCUGGGCCCCUUGUUGCCCUCUCUGCCCCCUCUGGGACCAUCCCCACUCUGUCUGGCUCCUGGUCCUUUUCUGCUUGGCAUGUUAUCCCAGUUGCCACGCUGUCAGUCCUCCGUGCCAGCCCUCGCCCACCCCACGCGCCUACAUUACCUCCUGCGCCUACUGACCUUCCUUCUGGGUCCAGGGACUGGGGGUGCCGAGACGCAGGGGAUGUUAGGUCAAGCCCUGCUGCUCUCUAGUCUCCCAGACAACUGUUCAUUCUGGGAUGCCUUCCGCCCAGAGGGCCGGAGAAGUGUACUGAGGACAGUCGGAGAGUACUUGCAGCGGGAAGAGCCAACCCCACCAGGCUUAGACUCCUCCCUCAGCCUCGGCUCUGGUAUGAGCAAGAUGGAGCUUCUGUCCUGCUUCAGUCCUGUACUGUGGGAUCUACUCCAGAGAGAGAAGAGCGUUUGGGCCCUGAGGACCCUGGUGAAGGCCUACCUGCGCAUGCCUCCAGAAGACCUUCAGCAGCUUGUGCUUUCAGCAGAGAUGGAGGCUGCACAGGGCUUCCUGACGCUCAUGCUUCGUUCCUGGGCUAAGCUGAAGGUUCAACCAUCCGAGGAGCAGGCCAUGGGCCGCCUGACAGCCUUGCUGCUCCAGCGGUACCCACGCCUCACCUCCCAACUCUUUAUCGACAUGUCACCGCUCAUCCCCUUCCUGGCUGUCCCUGACCUCAUGCGCUUCCCACCGUCCCUUUUGGCCAACGACAGUGUCCUGGCUGCCAUCAGGGAUCACAGCUCAGGAAUGAAGCCUGAACAGAAGGAGGCCCUGGCAAAACGACUGCUGGCCCCUGAGCUGUUUGGAGAAGUGCCUGAUUGGCCCCAGGAGCUGCUGUGGGCAGCCCUGCCUCUGCUUCCCCAUCUGCCUCUGGAGAGCUUUCUCCAGCUCAGCCCUCACCAGAUCCAGGCCCUGGAGGAUAGCUGGCCAGUAGCAGAUCUUGGGCCGGGACACGCCCGACAUGUGCUUCGUAGCCUAGUAAACCAGAGCAUGGAGGAUGGGGAGGAGCAGGUGCUCAGGCUUGGGUCCCUCGCCUGUUUCCUGAGUCCUGAGGAGCUACAGAGUCUGGUGCCCUUGAGUGAUCCAAUGGGGCCUGUAGAACAGGGUCUGCUGGAAUGUGCGGCCAAUGGGACCCUCAGCCCAGAAGGACGGGUGGCAUAUGAACUUCUGGGAGUGUUGCGUUCAUCUGGAGGAACUGUCUUAAGCCCCCGAGAGCUGAGGGUCUGGGCACCUCUCUUUCCCCAGCUGGGCCUCCGCUUCCUGCAGGAGCUCUCAGAGACCCAGCUUAGAGCCAUGCUUCCUGCCCUACAGGGAGCCAGUGUCACACCUGCCCAGGCUGUUCUGUUGUUUGGAAGGCUCCUUCCUAAGCAUGAUCUGUCCCUGGAGGAACUCUGCUCCCUGCACCCUCUCCUGCCAGGUCUCAGCCCCCAGACACUCCAGGCCAUCCCUAAGAGAGUUCUGGUUGGUGCUUGUUCCUGCCUGGGCCCUGAACUGUCAAGGCUUUCAGCUUGCCAGAUUGCAGCUCUGCUGCAGACCUUUCGGGUAAAAGAUGGUGUUAAAAAUAUGGGUGCAGCAGGUGCCGGCUCAGCCGUGUGCAUUCCUGGGCAGCCCACCACUUGGCCAGACUGCCUGCUUCCCCUGCUCCCAUUAAAGCUGCUACAGCUGGACGCUGCAGCUCUUCUGGCAAACCGAAGACUCUAUCGGCAGCUGCCUUGGUCUGAGCAACAGGCACAGUUUCUCUGGAAGAAAAUGCAAGUGCCUACCAACCUGAGCCUGAGGAAUCUGCAGGCUCUGGGCAACUUGGCAGGAGGCAUGACCUGCGAGUUUCUGCAGCAGAUCAGCUCAAUGGUUGACUUUCUUGAUGUGGUACACAUGCUCUACCAGCUGCCCACUGGUGUUCGAGAGAGCCUGCGGGCCUGUAUCUGGACAGAGCUACAGCGGAGGAUGACAAUGCCAGAGCCAGAGCUGACCACCCUAGGGCCAGAACUGAGUGAACUUGACACAAAGCUACUCCUGGACUUGCCGAUCCAGCUGAUGGACAGAUUGUCCAAUGAUUCCAUUAUGUUGGUGGUGGAGAUGGUCCAAGGCGCUCCAGAGCAGCUGCUGGCACUGACCCCACUCCACCAGACAGCCUUGGCAGAGCGAGCACUUAAAAACCUGGCUCCAAAGGAGACCCCAAUCUCCAAAGAAGUGCUGGAGACACUGGGCCCCUUGGUUGGAUUCCUGGGAAUAGAGAGCACGCGACGGAUCCCUUUACCCAUUCUACUGUCUCAUCUCAGUCAGCUGCAGGGCUUCUGCCUAGGAGAGACAUUUGCCACAGAGCUGGGAUGGCUGCUGUUGCAGGAGCCUGUUCUUGGAAAACCAGAAUUGUGGAGCCAGGAUGAAAUAGAGCAAGCUGGACGCCUAGUAUUCACUCUGUCUGCUGAGGCUAUUUCCUCGAUCCCCAGGGAGGCUUUGGGCCCAGAGACACUGGAGAGGCUUCUGGGAAAGCAUCAAAGCUGGGAGCAGAGCAGAGUGGGCCAUCUGUGUGGGGAGUCACAGCUUGCCCACAAGAAAGCAGCUCUGGUAGCUGGGAUUGUGCAUCCAGCUGCUGAGGGUCUCCAAGAGCCUGUACCAAACUGUGCAGACAUACGGGGAACCUUCCCAGCGGCCUGGUCUGCGACACAAAUCUCAGAGAUGGAACUCUCAGACUUUGAAGACUGCCUGUCACUAUUUGCUGGAGAUCCAGGACUUGGUCCUGAGGAACUACGGGCAGCCAUGGGCAAGGCCAAGCAGUUGUGGGGUCCCCCUCGAGGAUUCCGUCCUGAGCAGAUCUUGCAGCUGGGCCGUCUCCUGAUAGGUCUAGGAGAACGGGAACUGCAGGAGCUUACCUUGGUGGACUGGGGUGUGCUGAGCAGCCUGGGGCAAAUAGAUGGCUGGAGUUCCAUGCAGCUCCGAGCCGUGGUCUCCAGUUUCCUAAGGCAGAGUGGUCGGCAUGUGAGCCACCUGGACUUCAUUUAUCUGACAGCACUGGGUUACACAGUCUGUGGAUUGCGACCAGAGGAGUUACAGCACAUCAGCAGUUGGGAGUUUAGCCAAGCAGCUCUCUUCCUGGGUAGCUUGCAUCUCCCGUGCUCUGAGGAACAGCUGGAAGUUCUGGCCUAUCUCCUUGUGUUGCCUGGUGGCUUUGGCCCAGUCAGUAACUGGGGGCCUGAGAUCUUCACUGAAAUUGGCACAAUAGCAGCUGGCAUCCCAGACCUGGCUCUUUCAGCAUUACUGCGGGGACAGAUCCAAGGCCUGACUCCUCUUGCCAUUUCUGUCAUUCCUGCUCCCAAGUUUGCAGUGGUCUUCAACCCCAUCCAGUUAUCUAGUCUCACCAGGGGUCAGGCCGUAGCUGUUACUCCUGAACAGCUGGCCUAUCUGAGUCCUGAGCAGCGGCGAGCAGUUGCAUGGGCCCAACACGAAGGGAAGGAGAUCCCAGAGCAGCUGGGUCGAAACUCAGCCUGGGGUCUCUACGACUGGUUCCAAGCCUCCUGGGCCCUGGCAUUGCCCGUCAGCAUUUUUGGCCACCUAUUAUGAUAACUGUUCCUUCAGUUGAGGGAGAAAAUUUACAUCAUACUGAACAACUUGUAAAUGGAAGUGCAUACUAAUUAUUCUCAUUUUUGUGACAGGAUCUCAUUAUGUAGCCCUGGCUGGCCUGAGACUCACAGAGAUCUGUCUUGCUUCUGCUGGUAUUAAAAGCACAGACCACCUUGCCUGA